CUCUUUCUUUCUCUCCCCCUCCGUCUCUUCCCUCCUUCUCUCCCCCUCCCGCUCCCUUCUCCCUCUCCCUCCAAGUCUGGCACUGAACGCGAACUGUUUUGCUUUGCUCCGGGAAGAGUGCAGACACACAACGUGAGAUCCCGAGCUUUUUGCGUGGUGCAUUUAAAAUGCUUCCUUAUUUAUAUUACCCUCAUUCCCUCACCUCCCCCACCCCCUCACCAGUCCUUCCAGAUUUCCCUAGAAAUCUAUGUAAAGCGUGCGGAGGGGAAAACAUUUGCACAAAAAGUGAAGGAGCUCGCCAAGGAGUUCCCGUUUGGAGAGUCCAACCUGUCCUGACACCCAGAGGUCUGCAGGAGAGGUGGCCACUGAAGAAGGAGGUCUCAAAGACCACAGGAGAUGAAGAACUUGGACGAAUGAGCUUAGGAGUCCCAGGAACUUGGUUUCCUUAA
rnacentral:lncRNA from 1 species